AUGAACAUGCAAUGCGACGAAUCGAUAGAUGAAAACUAUCGAAUCAACGACAUAUCUACUGAUACGGCUGAAGCUAUGCAGCUUGAUAUGGAUGAAAUCCUGAUCCUGCAGGUACUGCACAUGUUCUCAGGAAAUUGUUCUGAAGUUGGAUUGGUGAUCAUGCUGAGUGAAAAAUCUCAUUCUUCAGUUUAUUCUAUGAUGGCGCUGAUAAGUGCAGCUGUGGAAGGUUGCACUUGCAUCCCACAGUACUUGGUAUACCAGUCCUCAAUCAAGUUGCUGUUGUUCAUAGCAACACUCAGGAAGCGGCAUCAAGAAGACUGA
rnacentral:rRNA from 1 species